CUACUACUCCCUCCGUCCUAAAAUUCUNNNNNUAGAUUUGUUUAGAUAUGAAUGUAGCUAGUCAAGUUUUAGUAUUUAGAUACAUUCAUUUCUAAACAAAGUUAAGACAAGAAUUUUGGGACGGAGGGAGUAUGCA
rnacentral:pre_miRNA from 1 species